rnacentral:lncRNA from 10 species
UCUUAUCUGCACCGCGUUCCAGGAAGCAGCCGGCGUUUCGGCCGCGCAAGGGCAGCCGCCGCACGUAGGCAGCGUCCCCCAGCCCGGGACCCGCAGGAAUGCGAGGGGCAAGACAGAUCGCCGGAGGAGCAGGGGUCAGAAGUCAGUGUUUAACCACUCACUGGCUUUCGGUGAAGCCAGAAUGUUAGCAGCGAGUCGCGGUCGGGGGCCUUGGGGUUGCACACGCUUGCUCCAAGCACCGAGGCUCAGCUGAGCACAUGCACAACCCUCUCGAUGCAGCGGAAAGUCGUGUGGCUUAGGGCCGCACCCCGAAUUUCGCCGCACCCGCCGCUGUGCCAUUUACAACCCCCCACCCCGCCACUGCUGUCACGUAGCAAUCAAGAGUAAAGGUUAUCACAAAGUCUGUUCUUCGAAGGAAAGAGUUGGAAUCAAGGACUUCGGACGGGAGGAAGUUGGUAAGUUACCGCUUCCUCCCUCCUGUUUUCCUCUCCUUGUUUAACUUCUCACAAGAACAUGUGGCAGCGCUGCAGGUUAACUCAUCUUACAUAACUUCGGGGCCGUGUCAACUGUUCAGAAGAAAGAAAAACAAGUAUUCUCUUCUGUAGAAGUUGUAUUUAGAAACAGGCUCUGUUGUUUAGGACAAGUUCACUUGUGUUGCCUGAUCACUUGCAGCAGAAAAUCUUAGAACUGCUCCUCAAGCAACAAAAAGUAGGGGCUCCCAUUUCCAUCUUUCUUUCUUUUCUUUUUCUUUCUCUCUCUCUCCUUCCCUCCCUCCCUCCUUCCUCUCUCUCUCUUUCUUUCUUUCUGAUGGAGGCUUGCUCUGUCGCCCAGCUGCAGUGCAGUAGCACGAUCUCAGCUCACUGCAACCUCCGCCUCCCGGGUUCAAGCGAUUCCCCUGCCUUAGCCUCCCGAGUAGCUGGGACUACAGGUGCGCACCACCACGCCCAGCUAAUUUUUUGUAUGUUAGUAGAGAUGGGGUUUCACUAUGUUGGCCAGGAUGGUCUCGAUCUCCUAACUGCGUGAUCCGCCUGCCUCGGCCUCCCAAAGUGCUGGGAUUACAGGUGUGAGCCACUGUGCCCAGCCGGGCUCCCAUUUUUCUGAAUAUGAACUUCAAAAUAGUUUGAGGAGCCCAACAUGAGAGUAACUGGACAAUUGUCUUCCUCUGAGAAAACAAAAUGACAAACAACCAACAUGAAUCAAAUGAUGACUUGGUAUUUCAUUAAACACAACUCUUACAGCACCAGGAA